rnacentral:rRNA from 1 species
GAUGAACGCUGGCGGCGUGCCUAAUACAUGCAAGUCGAGCGAACAGACGAGGAGCUUGCUCCUCUGACGUUAGCGGCGGACGGGUGAGUAACACGUGGAUAACCUACCUAUAAGACUGGGAUAACUUCGGGAAACCGGAGCUAAUACCGGAUAAUAUCUUGAACCGCAUGGUUCAAUAGUGAAAGACGCUUUUGCUUUACUUUAUAGUUAGAUCGCCGCCGCAUAAGCAAGUUGGUAAGGUAAGGGCUAACAAGGCCAACGAUGCGAAGCCAACCUGGGAGGGGAACCGCCCACAUUGGAACUGGAACACGGUCCAACCUCCUACGGGGGGCAGAAGAAGGGAAUCUUCCGCAAUGGGCGAAGUCCUGACGGAGCAACGCCGCGUGGUUGAUGAAGUUCUUCGGAUCGUAAAACUCUGUUAUUAGGGAAGAACAAAGGUGUAAGUAACUAUGCACGUCUUGACGGUACCUAAUCAGAAAGCCACGGCUAACUACGUG